GGUUAUGGCUCAGUGGUAGAGUGCUUGCCUAGCAUGUGUGAGGCACUGGGUUCCAUCCCCAGCACCA
rnacentral:tRNA from 1 species